UAGCCUUUAGUCUGUGUGACCACACAGCCCCGGGAACGCUGCAUCGCGUGGGGUGCAAGGGCUGGCAGCCCCACAGGAACUCACCUGACUUUGAAAGGGCAUUGUGCUGCAAUCCUUCCAUCCAUCCUAGCCUACUUCCCUGCCGGGCUCCGGUGCCAGUGCUGUCAAAUGUAUCCUCCUCGGGGUCUCCAGCACAGACAAACCAGAACAGCCGCAUGCCUCUGGGUCAAUGUGUUGUGAAAGGCAGGACAGCUAGAGCUAAAGGGCUCUCUGUAGAAACAAGUUCACCUCUCUGCUGAGGAGUAAGUCUCAGAAGAGAUUAAGAGUUGUUCAGGGUGCUAAUCCAACAUUGCUUUGGAUAAUAUCACUGGUAUACAGCAAUCAAGGAUUGUGCAAUGUGAAGCUAUACAAUCCUUUCCUCUGGCAGAAGAAACAGGCAGGCAACUUUGCCAGUGCUGUUGUGAAAAGCCUUUCAUAGCAUCCAUCAGCUCCCACAGACUUCAGUGCACUUGUUCAUCUCUUUGAUACCAAGGAAAAGGAUCAAUAUCUGAGAGGUCUUUUGUAGGCCUAAGAGUCCUGAAGAAAUCAGCCAGCAAUAGGCAUCUGUGGUUCUCUGAAUUUUUAUUCUUCCAUACAGCCUUUUUUCUGUUACCACCUGCUCAUCUAACCUGCAUUGCUAUAGAUUUUUCCAGUGGCAGGUAGGCUUCAAUAUAUACGUACACAGUGCCUGGGAGAAACCGAACCUAGGUGGUAAGUUUUCACACUGCUCUGAGAAACACUGAUUUUUAUAAAGAGUCCAGAUGCAGAUAUUACAGAUUUUAAGAGCUGUAACCUUGAACAAAGACAUGUUUUUUUCUCGGAAAUAUUCUAAGGACUUCUGUAGCAGACACAAGAAAGAAUAGCCUUGUGUGCUUUUGAGAGAGGACUGGGAUUCAUGACUUGAUCUCAUUCUGUUACAAUUAGUGUACUUCAUUUGUCCUCUGUUAUGCAAUAAAAUGAACUCAUUGCAGCA